GAUGAACGCUGGCGGCGUGCCUAAUACAUGCAAGUCGAGCGAACAGACGAGGAGCUUGCUCCUCUGACGUUAGCGGCGGACGGGUGAGUAACACGUGGAUAACCUACCUAUAAGACUGGGAUAACUUCGGGAAACCGGAGCUAAUACCGGAUAAUAUAUUGAACCGCAUGGUUCAAUAGUGAAAGACGGUUUUGCUGUCACUUAUAGAUGGAUCCGCGCCGCAUUAGCUAGUUGGUAAGGUAACGGCUUACCAAGGCAACGAUGCGUAGCCGACCUGAGAGGGGGAUCGGCCACACUGGAACUGAGACACGGUCCAGACUCCUACGGGAGGCAGCAGUAGGGAAUCUUCCGCAAUGGGCGAAAGCUUGACGGAGCAACGCCGCGGGAGUGAUGAAGGUCUUCGGAUCGUAAAACUCUGUUAUUAGGGAAGAACAAAUGUGUAAGUAACGAUGCACGUCUGGACGGUACCUAAUCAGAAAGCCACGGCUAACUACGU
rnacentral:rRNA from 1 species